CCUACGGGUGGCAGCAGUGGGGAAUAUUGCGCAAUGGGCGAAAGCCUGACGCAGCGACGCCGCGUGAGGGAUGAAGGUCUUCGGAUCGUAAACCUCUGUCAGCAGGGACGAACGGUCACUGUGCUAAUCAGCAGUGACUUGACGGUACCUGCAAAGGAAGCACCGGCUAACUCCGUGCCAGCAGCCGCGGUAAUACGGAGGGUGCGAGCGUUAAUCGGAAUUACUGGGCGUAAAGCGCUCGUAGGCGGUAUGUCAAGUCAAGGGUGAAAUCCCCGCGCUCAACGUGGGAACUGCCUUUGAAACUGGCAAACUGGAGUGUGUGAGAGGAUAGUGGAAUUCCAGGUGUAGGAGGGAAAUCCGUAGAUAUCUGGAGGAACAUCAGUGGCGAAGGCGACUAUCUGGCACAUAACUGACGCUGAGGAGCGAAAGCGUGGGUAGCAAACAGGAUUAGAUACCCCAGUAGUC
rnacentral:rRNA from 1 species